GCUACACAGAGCCUUAAACUUGCAAAAGGGAUUUGUGAGCAGCCUGCUUGUCAAGAACAAAUACUAGUCAAAAGAAAUGUGUGACUUAUUGACCUUGGGUUCACUGAACCUUCAUCUUGAUGCUUCCGUACCACUAAGGAAUCGGCUUCUCUGAAAAUUAAAGUUCCCAGAUUAGAAUAGAAGCUUCAACAAAGGACCUGUGUGGCUUUGCAAAUACACAUCGAUUAGAGGACUUUGGAAGAGCUUUGUUAGAAAAGUGGAAUUAUGAAAAGCAAAUGUUUGAGAGAAGAUAAGAAGAAUAGUGAAUGGCCUCAGACAAGACACACAAUGAAGCUUCCAGCAAUGCUCCUGAAGUGCCUUGGGAGAGUUGAUGGUGGGCACACAGAGGAACCAGCUGCAGUUUGGGCUGCCUGUGGUACUCAGAACUGCACUGGCUCUGAAGCUUGUAACCAACCAGGCAGAGGUGAAAAAAGGUCAGGAAGAAUCUUGCUGUUCCCAGUGUCUGUCAAUUUGGUGCAGAACAACAGAUGUACCUUCCCUCUGGUGUGCUGGGUGACUCUUGUGCUUGGUGAUAUCCUGGGUGUCUGUGGGCAAACACACAAAUUAAAGAGAGGAGGAGGGAGCUGUGUGCCCUGCUUAAGCAGUGUCUGCCUGGCUCUGGGUAGGCUGUGGAGGAUGCAGAUCCUGUAGCAUCAGCUCCCUCCCUGCUCCAGACAGAUGAUAACUG
rnacentral:lncRNA from 1 species